ACACGCACCGGACACCUGGUGGAAGGAUGUAAGCGUGCGGUUCUGUAUACGGCCAGAUGGGUUUAGAUAGCGCGGUCCGUUGGCGGCCCUAUCUAGACAGUAUGUGUAGUGCAUGGCAGCCGGACAGGGCUAACAAUAGCGUGUAAUUCUUCGUUCCAACGAAACGGUGCUGCUGAUCUGCGCAUCCUGCCAUGAGAACGCAUACAACACAUGUAUCGCUGGACCCGUUCCUGAUAUGGCCGUCCUCAACUGGGAAGUGCCUGUCAGUGACACCCUCGGCACCAGAUACUACAGGAGCAUCACGGGAACUUCGUUCUGUACUAUGAACGCAGUGGAUUCAUCAGCCUGCAUCAGUGGGCACGGUGGCAGCGCAGAUGCCAUUUCACCUUUAACUCGUCUUCUGUUCCUUGAACAGUUAUCGCACAUACCGGGGUCACACCCAGCCUGCUCCGGGGCCGUGCACCUGUUGUCGGCCACGCUGAAGUGCUGCUCGGGGGGGCAGGUGAGCUUCAGGCUGAACAUUCCCGCGCACACGGA